rnacentral:rRNA from 1 species
UACGGAGGGUGCAAGCGUUAUCCGGAUUCACUGGGUUUAAAGGGUGCGUAGGCGGUUCUGAAAGUCUGAUGUGAAAUCUCCAGGCCCAACCUGGAAACGGCAUUAGAAACUACAGGGCUAGAGGCUUGGAGGGGGAACUGGAAUUCUCGGUGUAGCAGUGAAAUGCGUAGAGAUCGAGAGGAACACCAGUGGCGAAGGCGAGUUCCUGGACAAGUCCUGACGCUGAGGCACGAAAGCCAGGGGAGCAAACAGG